GCGCGGUGAGGAGCGCGGGGUCGCUUCCAAGCACGGUGUCUGGCCGGAAAGGAAGCAGCCGCACCGCAUGAUUCCGUGUGCCAC
rnacentral:SRP_RNA from 14 species